rnacentral:rRNA from 1 species
UGGGGAAUAUUGCACAAUGGGGGAAACCCUGAUGCAGCGACGCCGCGUGAGCGAAGAAGGCUUUCGAGUCGUAAAGCUCUGUCCUAUGAGAAGAUAAUGACGGUAUCAUAGGAGGAAGCCCUGGCUAAAUACGUGCCAGCAGCCGCGGUAAUACGUAUGGGGCGAGCGUUGUCCGGAAUUAUUGGGCGUAAAGGGUACGUAGGCGGUUUUUUAAGUCAGGUGUCAAAGCGUGGAGCUUAACUCCAUUAAGCACUUGAAACUGAAAGACUUGAGUGCAGGAGAGAAAAGUGGAAUUCCUAGUGUAGCGGUGAAAUGCGUAGAGAUUAGGGGGAACACCGGUGGCGAAAGCGGCUUUUUGGCCUGCAACUGACACUGGGGCGCGAAAGCGUGGGGAGCAAACAGG